AUGGUUACUGCAAUGGAACUCUGUGUUUCUGCUGAAGUCACUGAGCACACAUUCCUCACCUUGAAAUUGAGCUGGAUCAUCCUUCUCAUGGCAUCAAUUGCAGGUGUCCACUCCCAGGUCCAGCUGCAGCAGUCUGGUCCUGAGCUGGGUAGUCCUGGGGCCUCAGUGAAGUUGUCCUGCAAGGCUUCUGGCUAUAUCUUCACUAAAGAAUAUAUGCACUGGGUGAAGCAGAGGCCUGAACAGGGCCUGGAGUGGAUUGGAUACAUUUAUCCUGAAAAUGGUGGUACUGACUACAAUCAGAAGUUCAAGGGCAGGGCCAAACUGACUGCAGAUAAAUCCUCCAGCACAGCCUACAUGGAUCUCAGCAGCCUGACCUCUGAGGACUCUGUGGUCUAUUUCUGUGCAAGAGACAGUGUUGCAACCACAUCCUGA